rnacentral:rRNA from 1 species
CUGGGGAAACCCAGGCUAAUACCGCAUACGUCCUACGGGAGAAAGGGGGCUUCGGCUCCCGCUAUUGGAUGAGCCUAUGUCGGAUUAGCUAGUUGGUGAGGUAAAGGCUCACCAAGGCAACGAUCCGUAGCUGGUCUGAGAGGAUGAUCAGCCACAUCGGGACUGAGACACGGCCCGAACUCCUACGGGAGGCAGCAGUGGGGAAUAUUGGACAAUGGGGGCAACCCUGAUCCAGCCAUGCCGCGUGUGUGAAGAAGGCCCUCGGGUUGUAAAGCACUUUCAGCGAGGAAGAACGCCUGGCGGUUAAUACCCGCCAGGAAAGACAUCACUCGCAGAAGAAGCACCGGCUAACUCCGUGCCAGCAGCCGCGGUAAUACGGAGGGUGCAAGCGUUAAUCGGAAUUACUGGGCGUAAAGCGCGCGUAGGUGGCUUGAUAAGCCGGUUGUGAAAGCCCCGGGCUCAACCUGGGAACGGCAUCCGGAACUGUCAAGCUAGAGUGCAGGAGAGGAAGGUAGAAUUCCCGGUGUAGCGGUGAAAUGCGUAGAGAUCGGGAGGAAUACCAGUGGCGAAGGCGGCCUUCUGGACUGACACUGACACUGAGGUGCGAAAGCGUUGGUAGCAAACAGGAUUAGAUACCCUGGUAGUCCACGCCGUAAACGAUGUCGACCAGCCGUUGGGUGCCUAGCGCACUUUGUGGCGAAGUUAACGCGAUAAGUCGACCGCCUGGGGAGUACGGCCGCAAGGUUAAAACUCAAAUGAAUUGACGGGGGCCCGCACAAGCGGUGGAGCAUGUGGUUUAAUUCGAUGCAACGCGAAGAACCUUACCUACCCUUGACAUCCUGCGAACCCGGAAGAGAUUCCGGGGUGCCUUCGGGAACGCAGAGACAGGUGCUGCAUGGCUGUCGUCAGCUCGUGUUGUGAAAUGUUGGGUUAAGUCCCGUAACGAGCGCAACCCUUGUCCUUAUUUGCCAGCGAGUAAUGUCGGGAACUCUAAGGAGACUGCCGGUGACAAACCGGAGGAAGGUGGGGACGACGUCAAGUCAUCAUGGCCCUUACGGGUAGGGCUACACACGUGCUACAAUGGCCGGUACAAAGGGCGGCGAGCUCGCGAGAGUCAGCGAAUCCCUUAAAGCCGGUCUCAGUCCGGAUCGGAGUCUGCGACUCGACUCCGUGAAGUCGGAAUCGCUAGUAAUCGUGAAUCAGAAUGUCACGGUGAAUACGUUCCCGG